GACGAACGCUGGCGGCGUGCUUAACACAUGCAAGUCGAACGGAGAAUUUUAUUUCGGUGAAAUUCUUAGUGGCGAACGGGUGAGUAACGCGUAGACAACCUACCUCUCAGAUGGGGACAACAUCGCGAAAGCGGUGCUAAUACCGAAUGAUGUAACUUCUCUGCAUGGAAGAGUUACCAAAGGCGGCCUCUAUUUAUAAGCUGUCACUGAGAGAUGGGUCUGCGUCUGAUUAGCUAGUUGGCGGGGUAAUGGCCCACCAAGGCGACGAUCAGUAGCCGGUUUGAGGGGAUGAACGGCCACAUUGGGACUGAGACACGGCCCAAACUCCUACGGGAGGCAGCAGUGGGGAAUCUUCCGCAAUGGACGAAAGUCUGACGGAGCAACGCCGCGUGAGUGAAGGAGGUUUUCGGAUCGUAAAGCUCUGUUGUUUGAGACGAACGUGCAAUUUUUGAAUAAGGAAUUGUAAUGACGGUAUUAAACGAGAAAGCCACGGCUAACUACGUGCCAGCCGCCGCCGUAA
rnacentral:rRNA from 1 species